ensembl:lncRNA novel transcript
AUUCAUGGAAAUUCCAAAUGUUAGAGCCUGAGUAAAUACACAAAUUGUAUCUUGCAACAUUAGGCCCUCUAAGCUCUUAUUGUUGUAUAGGUGAGUUGUAAAUAGUCGUCUUUGACAUCCUUUGCUCGUAAGAUUUAUUAAUAUAAGUAGAGUAUCAUAUGCAUAUUGUUUGCUUAUUAAUUCAUGAUUAUAUUUAUUGCAGUGGUUCGUUCAUUCUACACUGUAGGUUGUCAAGAAUAUAGGCCCUGAGUCAGGUAGACCUGGGGGUUGAAUCCUGUCUCUACCAUUAACUAUUAUAGCUCUUCAUUACAUGUUUAUAAUAUGUUCAUCGGCUAAUGAACGAACCUAGGCUCAGGCUUCCUCGUCUAUAAAAACUGGUGUGAUGAUAUAUGCCUCAUAGGAUUUUUGUGACGAUAGAAGGAGAUUCGACAUAUAAAACAACAUGGCGUGGAACAAUCAGUGUUUAAUAACUGCUGUCUAUUGUUACUAUUUGAACCUUAGGCUCUUUUUUUCAGGGUCCUAAUAUAUUAGCCAAGGAGCAAUUUAAUAUAUUUCCAUCUUCCAUUUCCAUUUUCUAAAAUCCUCAAUCCCAGGUGAGGGUGCUGGAAAAGGUUUUCUUUCUUAAAUGAAUUUAGGCAGACCAGUUAUUCCACAUAAAUCAAGUACCCCCUUGAGGUUCCCCGGUUCUAAAAGCAUGGGAAUGUGGGUAGUCUUGGCUUCACUGUCUUUGUCCGGUGUGUAGGAUGUCCUGGCAGUCCAUCCACUUGAUCUGAAAUUUGGCCUUGGGGCUGGGUUCUGUUCACUUCCUCCUAACUAGGCUUUCAGGCCAGGAAAAUGUUGUAAUAGAGUUUCUUCUCUCCAGAAAAUCCCUAGAGAUUCUUCCUCUUGGACUUGAGGGUAGACAUUCAAAUACUGCCUUCCUUGGAUGUUUUUUAGUUUAGCUGAGGAUUAAAUUUUUCAAAUUGUCUGCCUUAAUAAAUAUGUCCAACCCUUCUAUUCAUUCCUUAUUUGAACCCAAGGUCAGGGGGCUGUUUAUAUUUUAGCCUCUUCCAGAAACCCAUAUUCUUUUCCUUUGUAACCUUUUAACCCAUUUUCUUUCUUUCUUUUUUAAGUGUUAGGAUUUUUAGUUGCUUGCUGACUUUUCCGUUUUAUACCUUUAAUCUUCUUUUAUGUUAUAUUUUAAUAUAUGCACUAGGGCACAAUGAGGUUUCUUUUAUAAUAACAUGAAAGGCAGAGAAAAAAUAGUUUGGAUCAAUAACAAAAUAUUCAGGAAAUGGACAUGGAAAAGACCCAUUUUUAAGUGUAAAAACAUAAGCUCUUUAGGGAAGGAGAAGGUGCUUCCAAAGGACAACCCUUGUAAAAGAAGAGACUCCCAUGGCCCUGAUUCACAGUGUAUUUAUUUUAGGCUUGUGUUUCUGAGUGCAGUGUGAAAAAUGGAAGAAGUCAUAUAGCACAAUUUAUUGUUGAGACCCAUAGGUCAUGGAGCAGAAAUUUAUAAACAUACUGAGGGAUAUAUGUAAUGACACAAAUGACUGCACUGCUUUUCAAAGAGUGAUCCACACAAAGCACCAUUGCUUAUAAAUACUUCACUCACUGAUAUGGUUUGGUUCUAUAUCCCCUCGCAAAUCUCACCUUGAAUUGUAAUAAUCUCCAUGUGUCAAGGGUGGGACCAGGUGGAGAUAAUUGAGACAUGGGGGCAGUUUCCCCCAUGCUAUUCUCAUGAUGGUGAGGAAGUUCUUAGGAGAUCUGAUGGUUUUAUAAGGGGCUUCCCCCUUCGUUCAGCACUCAUUCUCUCUCCUGCCACCCUGUGAAGAGGUGCCUCCCACCAUGACUGUAAGUUUCCUGAGGCUUUCCCAGCCAUGCUGAACUGUGAGUCAAUUAAACCUCUUUUCUUUAAGAAUUACCCAGUCUCGGGUAUUUCUUCAUAGCAGUGUGAGAAUGGACUAAUACACUCAACUAUCUAGAAUUUGUUGUUUUCUGAUUGAAGGCACAAGGAAGGGUAAGGUACAUGCAAAGGAUUACGCCAGAAACACAGAGAUGACCCUGGAAGAUCUUCAUAGUAUUCCUAAGAAACCUCAUGAAAAGCCCUACAGUUGAUGGCUGCAGAGGAGAGUGUGUCUCUCUUUAGCUAAGAGUUGCAUGCUAAAAUUCCAUCUAUAUAAUCUAGAGGUAUUUUUUUCUCCAUUUUAUAAAAAGAAAUCUAAUAUGCUAUUUCAGUUAUCUACACAGACACUGGUUCUGAUGAAUAAUGCAGUGAGACCUGAAUUCCUUAAAGAGUAGUCAGUGCCUUCUGGAAUUAGGGUUUCUGAAGGGUCUCCGAUGGAUAUCUGCAUUACCUUAGACUAUGAAAUUGGCAAGUUUCACUGUCAAUUCUUCUCUCUGUAUUUCCAUCCACCCUUCCAAUUACUACAUCCUAUAACAGAUAUAGCACAUAGUCCAUUCUUACAGAACAUGUGAAAAGAAUUAGUUAACUAAAUGAGACUGACCCCUGUCCAGGGAAGUGGAGGAUCAAAAUACAUCUGCAGGAAGCUGUAGAUCUAGCUUUGCCCUCCACCCCUAUGCUACCCUUCUACCUUCUCUUCUCCUUGUAAUGUACAUAAAAGAAGGCCUGAUUUGUCACUUGGGAUGGUUACUGGACCCUUCUAAAGUGUACUUAGGUGAGGUUUUAUAUUCCCUGAAGUUUGACAUUUCCUGAAUUUUUAUUAAUUCUGAUGACUUGGAAAUUAUCACCUAGUGAAAUUUGUAAAAUCAAAGUAGUCAUGGGUCUCUCUUAAAUACCAUCUUUAAAAUGCUGGUGGAGCCUGGCAAGCUAAUUUGCUUUUCUGUAUAUUCCUUAUUGCAGAACAAUUGCAAUUCAAUACUGGGAGGACUUCCAGAAGGAUUUCAUCAAAUAACAAGCGUGUUAUUCAGAGAUCCAUAAUGAUAUGUUCAGACCCAAGUACAGACACUUCUUUGGAAUGAUUAUAGCAGAAGAGAAAUUCAAAACAAACAGCUCCGUACCUGAAAAGGUACAACAAGGAGGGAUGAAGAAAGAUCACUGACCAGAAAUAAAAUUGGGAGUUUAGACAAUUAAAUUAUCUGGACAUUUUAAUUCCUGAACUACGACUAGGCUACAACAUGCGGACUGCUGUAGAUGUCACCCAGGAACAGAAAAUAACUAGCCUCGUGAGAAAGUUUUGAAUGGGCAAAAGGGAAAUUGAAUACAAUUGUUUUUUGCUUGCACCAUAUAGAGGCGUAUUCUUUCUAUGUACAGUGAUAGGAAACUGGUGGUGUUUGACAUCAUCCAAAAACAGGGCCCAUUUUUUGAAUCAUAAAUUAUCUUCAUGAACACACCCAUUGCCUUCAACAUACAGCCUAAGUCUCAUACUUUCUAAAAUAUCUCCGGUAC